rnacentral:rRNA from 1 species
AUUGAACGCUGGCGGCAUGCUUUACACAUGCAAGUCGAACGGUAACAGGGUGCUUGCACCGCUGACGAGUGGCGAACGGGUGAGUAAUGCGUCGGAACGUGCCGAGUAGUGGGGGAUAACGCAGCGAAAGUUGUGCUAAUACCGCAUACGUACUGAGGUAGAAAGUGGGGGACCUUCGGGCCUCACGCUAUUCGAGCGGCCGACGUCUGAUUAGCUAGUAGGUGAGGUAAAGGCUCACCUAGGCGACGAUCAGUAGCGGGUCUGAGAGGAUGAUCGGCCACACGGGGACUGAGACACGGCCCAGACUCCUACGGGAGGCAGCAGUGGGGAAUUUUGGACAAUGGGCGAAAGCCUGAUCCAGCCAUGCCGCGUGUCUGAAGAAGGCCUUCGGGUUGUAAAGGACUUUUGUCGGGGAGGAAAUCCCCAGCGUUAAUACCGCUGGGGGAUGACAGUACCUGAAGAAUAAGCACCGGCUAACUACGUGCCAGCCGCCGCCGUAAUAC